rnacentral:rRNA from 1 species
AGUGAACGCUGGCGGUAGGCCUAACACAUGCAAGUCGAACGGCAGCACAGUAAGAGCUUGCUCUUACGGGUGGCGAGUGGCGGACGGGUGAGGAAUACAUCGGAAUCUACUUUUUCGUGGGGGAUAACGUAGGGAAACUUACGCUAAUACCGCAUACGACCUACGGGUGAAAGCAGGGGAUCUUCGGACCUUGCGCGAUUGAAUGAGCCGAUGUCGGAUUAGCUAGUUGGCGGGGUAAAGGCCCACCAAGGCGACGAUCCGUAGCUGGUCUGAGAGGAUGAUCAGCGACACUGGAACUGAGACACGGUCCAGACUCCUACGGGAGGCAGCAGUGGGGAAUGUUGGACAAUGGGCGCAAGCCUGAUCCAGCCAUACCGCGUGGGUGAAGAAGGCCUUCGGGUUGUAAAGCCCUUUUGUUGGGAAAGAAAAGCAGCAGGUUAAUACCCCGCUGUUCUGACGGUACCCAAAGAAUAAGCACCGGCUAACUUCGUG